rnacentral:rRNA from 1 species
UACGGAGGGUGCAAGCGUUAUCCGGAUUUACUGGGUUUAAAGGGUGCGUAGGUGGGUUGGUGAGUCAGUGGUGAAAUACUUUCGCUUAACGAAGGAACUGCCAUUGAUACUACCAGUCUUGAAUACAGUGGAGGUAGGCGGAAUGCGUCAUGUAGCGGUGAAAUGCUUAGAUAUGACGCAGAACACCAAUUGCGAAGGCAGCUUGCUACACUGUUAUUGACACUGAGGCACGAAAGCGUGGGGAUCAAACAGG